CCCUUACCCCCACACUCCCCCAGCAGACAGGCAGACUGUGGGUGGAAUGAGGCAGGAGGACUGGACACUGCACAGUGUCCCCGACUGGCGUCCCAGACACAGGGCAGCCAGCACAAGAUGGCACCCAGGCAGCCGUGAGCAGGGCGACGGUGGCAAUGGAGGUGAUGGAGGUGACGGAGGUGACGGAAGAGGGUGAAGACAAGGUGAAUGAGACACCAGCUGAGGGGACUGGCUGGGCAGAAGAGCUCUGAACUCUGGCCCCCAACUCCAGAUGAGAGACCCACCUGCUAAGUGGAAUCGUGUCUCAUUCACAGGAUUAUGUUCUAAACACCACCCCCCCUCACCCCAGCACCUACCAGCUUGACCUUAUUUGAAAAUAGCCUAUUUAGAGAAAGCUUUUAAAGUGGAAAUCUGGACACAGACAAGCACCACAGGAGAACACUAUGUGAACACAAGCUGAGUUUUGCUGCCGGGAGCUAAGAAGCAACCAGAAGCCUGGAGAGAAGCCCUGGAAAGCGUCCUUCCUGCAGCCCAGGCAGGGGCAGGGCUGUACCACAGCUAGAGCUGGGGAGCUGGGGACAAGAAGUUGCCUUUGCUGAUGCCACUGGCUUCGAGGGAACUGGUAAAGGCAGCCUGGACCCUGGUACAUUCUGCAGCGCCCAUUGGGGCUCCCCACCAACCCACAGUCAGCAGCAUUAGUCUCUGAAGACCCUCCCGCUCACUAGCCCCGAACCUGGGGUGACAGAGUGGACUCACCCCUAGAAGGUCUACAGACCCCUGUGAUAUGAGCACCUCACCUCCUGGGGUGAUGGGGGACCAGGCAGCCACCAUAUGGCCCCUAGAGACCCAUCCCAGAGACAUCAGUGUGAGCAUCCAGCUGCCCUGUCACAUCUGCUGGCACACUGGAGGCCUCCCAGAGUGUCCCGAUGUCCCCAGGGCCUCUGCAGUUGUCCCUGUGAAUGUCUUCAGGGGGGGUCUCCAUCCCUAGGAUAAGAGUACUCCUCUCUCUCUUCCUCUCUAAAUAAACCACAGGUGACCUGCCGCUCUGUGAGAGAGAGGGGAAAUGUGAGAGACAGAGAGAGUAUGUGACAGAGAGUGUGAAGGACAGAAUAGUUAAGUGCACACAUGACCAUGCUUAAGGACUUGGGUUCAAGCCCCCAUUCCCAUCUGCAGGAAGCUUCGUGAGCAGUGAAGUAGUCCUGUGGGUGCUUCUUUCUCCCUCUCUUUCUCCCCGUACCUCUUGAUGUCUCUAUCCAAUAAAAUGAAAAUAGUGAAUAAAGGGGGACUGGAUGGUGAU